rnacentral:lncRNA from 1 species
UUUGUUUUAUAACUAACUUGUACCUUGUUUCAAUUGCAGUUCUUUUAAUUUUUUUAGGUAUUUGAGGAUCCCCAUUUUGGAUAAAUUCUUCACAACCCUAGGUGCUGUUCAUGUGUGUAUACAAUUAUACGAGAAAGGGGUACAACAAUAUUGAUUUGCAAAAAAAAAAAAUAGACGUUCGCCUAAACCAUUCAUCUUACCCUAACCAGAAAUAACACUGAAUGUAAAUGGUAUGUAUUAUACUUUUGGUUACAGUGUUUAUAUCAUUGUUAUAUUUUCAAGGUAGUCCAUUUUUGUCGAGCCUUCGAAUUUCGUCGAAAAAGCGAGACAUAGCGA